rnacentral:tRNA from 1 species
GCCUCUAUAGCUCAGUGGUUAGAGCACUGAUUUUGUAAACUAGGGGUUGGAAGUUCGAUUCUCGCUCGUGGCA